rnacentral:rRNA from 1 species
GACGUAGGGCGCGAGCGUUGUCCGGAUUUAUUGGGCGUAAAGAGCUCGUAGGCGGCUUGUCGCGUCGUCCGUGAAAACCCACAGCUCAACUGUGGGCUUGCGGUCGAUACGGGCAGGCUAGAGUUCGGUAGGGGAGACUGGAAUUCCUGGUGUAGCGGUGAAAUGCGCAGAUAUCAGGAGGAACACCGGUGGCGAAGGCGGGGUCUCUGGGGCCGAUAUUGACGCUGGAGGAGUGAAAGCGUGGGGAGCGAACAGG